rnacentral:rRNA from 1 species
ACAUGCAAGUCGAACGCUUCUUUUUCCACCGGAGCUUGCUCCACCGGAAAAAGAGGAGUGGCGAACGGGUGAGUAACACGUGGGUAACCUGCCCAUCAGAAGGGGAUAACACUUGGAAACAGGUGCUAAUACCGUAUAACAAUCAAAACCGCAUGGUUUUGAUUUGAAAGGCGCUUUCGGGUGUCGCUGAUGGAUGGACCCGCGGUGCAUUAGCUAGUUGGUGAGGUAACGGCUCACCAAGGCCACGAUGCAUAGCCGACCUGAGAGGGUGAUCGGCCACAUUGGGACUGAGACACGGCCCAAACUCCUACGGGAGGCAGCAGUAGGGAAUCUUCGGCAAUGGACGAAAGUCUGACCGAGCAACGCCGCGUGAGUGAAGAAGGUUUUCGGAUCGUAAAACUCUGUUGUUAGAGAAGAACAAGGAUGAGAGUAACUGUUCAUCCCUUGACGGUAUCUAACCAGAAAGCCACGGCUAACUACGUGCCAGCAGCCGCGGUAAUACGUAGGUGGCAAGCGUUGUCCGGAUUUAUUGGGCGUAAAGCGAGCGCAGGCGGUUUCUUAAGUCUGAUGUGAAAGCCCCCGGCUCAACCGGGGAGGGUCAUUGGAAACUGGGAGACUUGAGUGCAGAAGAGGAGAGUGGAAUUCCAUGUGUAGCGGUGAAAUGCGUAGAUAUAUGGAGGAACACCAGUGGCGAAGGCGGCUCUCUGGUCUGUAACUGACGCUGAGGCUCGAAAGCGUGGGGAGCAAACAGGAUUAGAUACCCUGGUAGUCCACGCCGUAAACGAUGAGUGCUAAGUGUUGGAGGGUUUCCGCCCUUCAGUGCUGCAGCUAACGCAUUAAGCA